GAUGAACGCUGGCGGCGUGCCUAAUACAUGCAAGUCGAGCGAAUGGAUUAAGAGCUUGCUCUUAUGAAGUUAGCGGCGGACGGGUGAGUAACACGUGGGUAACCUGCCCAUAAGACUGGGAUAACUCCGGGAAACCGGGGCUAAUACCGGAUAAUAUUUUGAACUGCAUAGUUCGAAAUUGAAAGGCGGCUUCGGCUGUCACUUAUGGAUGGACCCGCGUCGCAUUAGCUAGUUGGUGAGGUAACGGCUCACCAAGGCAACGAUGCGUAGCCGACCUGAGAGGGUGAUCGGCCACACUGGGACUGAGACACGGCCCAGACUC
rnacentral:rRNA from 1 species